rnacentral:rRNA from 1 species
GUGCCAGCAGCCGCGGUAAUACGGAGGGUGCAAGCGUUAAUCGGAAUUACUGGGCGUAAAGCGCACGCAGGCGGUCUGUCAAGUCGGAUGUGAAAUCCCCGGGCUCAACCUGGGAACUGCAUUCGAAACUGGCAGGCUGGAGUCUCGUAGAGGGAGGUAGAAUUCCAGGUGUAGCGGUGAAAUGCGUAGAGAUCUGGAGGAAUACCGGUGGCGAAGGCGGCCUCCUGGACGAAGACUGACGCUCAGGUGCGAAAGCGUGGGGAGCAAACAGGAUUAGAUACCCGUGUAGUCC